AUUGAACGCUGGCGGCAGGCCUAACACAUGCAAGUCGAGCGGAUGAAGGGAGCUUGCUCCUGGAUUCAGCGGCGGACGGGUGGGUAAUGCCUAGGAAUCUGCCUGGUAGUGGGGGAUAACGUCCGGAAACGGGCGCUAAUACCGCAUACGUCCUGAGGGAGAAAGGGGGGGAUCUUCGGACCUCACGCUAUCAGAUGACCCUAGGUCGGAUUAGCUAGUUGGUGGGGUAAAGGCCUACCAAGGCGACGAUCCGUAACUGGUCUGAGAGGAUGAUCAGUCACACUGGAACUGAGACACGGUCCAGACUCCUACGGGAGGCAGCAGUGGGGAAUAUUGGACAAUGGGCGAAAGCCUGAUCCAGCCAUGCCGCGUGUGUGAAGAAGGUCUUCGGAUUGUAAAGCACUUUAAGUUGGGAGGAAGGGCAGUAAGUUAAUACCUUGCUGUUUUGACGUUACCAACAGAAUAAGCACCGGCUAACUUCGUG
rnacentral:rRNA from 1 species